rnacentral:rRNA from 1 species
ACUGAGUGGCGGACGGGUGAGUAACGCGUGGGCAACCUGCCCCAUACAGGGGGAUAACAGCCGGAAACGGCUGCUAAAACCGCAUAAGCGCACAAGGGCCGCAUGGCCUGGUGUGAAAAACUCCGGUGGUAUGGGAUGGGCCCGCGUCUGAUUAGCUAGUUGGCGGGGAGAGGCCCACCAAGGCGACGAUCAGUAGCCGACCUGAGAGGGUGGCCGGCCACAUUGGGACUGAGACACGGCCCAAACUCCUACGGGAGGCAGCAG